CUGCUGCCUCCCGUAGGAGUUUGGGCCGUGUCUCAGUCCCAAUGUGGCCGGUCACCCUCUCAGGUCGGCUACUGAUCGUUGCCUUGGUGAGCCGUUACCUCUCCAACUAGCUAAUCAGACGCAGGUCCAUCUCAUACCACCUCAGUUUUUCACACCAAACCAUGCGGUUUUGUGCGCUUAUGCGGUAUUAGCAGUCAUUUCUAACUGUUAUCCCCCUGUAUGAGGCAGGUUACCCACGCGUUACUCACCCG
rnacentral:rRNA from 1 species